GUGGGGAAUAUUGGACAAUGGGCGAAAGCCUGAUCCAGCCAUGCCGCGUGUGUGAAGAAGGUCUUCGGAUUGUAAAGCACUUUAAGUUGGGAGGAAGGGCAGUAAGUUAAUACCUUGCUGUUUUGACGUUACCGACAGAAUAAGCACCGGCUAACUUCGUGCCAGCAGCCGCGGUAAUACGAAGGGUGCAAGCGUUAAUCGGAAUUACUGGGCGUAAAGCGCGCGUAGGUGGUUUUGUAAGUUGGAGGUGAAAUCCCCGGGCUCAACCUUGGAACUGCAUCCAAAACUGCAUGACUAGAGUACGGUAGAGGGUAGUGGAAUUUCCUGUGUAGCGGUGAAAUGCGUAGAUAUAGGAAGGAACACCAGUGGCGAAGGCGACUACCUGGACUGAUACUGACACUGAGGUGCGAAAGCGUGGGGAGCAAACAGGAUUAGAAACCCCAGUAGUCC
rnacentral:rRNA from 1 species